GGAGAACAAGAUCAAGGGAUUAUAAAUGAUUUGUGACAAAAUCAACCUUAUUUCUUUUCAUAACUUGUUUUCCCCCUGACAUUAAAAUGCUAAAUCGAGAAUACUAUGUACUGGAGACAGAAAGGUUAAGAGUGGGUUCUUUAUAUUGCCUGUAAACCAGAGGUCUUAAACUAAAGGAAUAAAAGAUACCUGUUGAGGCUUGCAAGUGCUCUGGCUUGAUCCAAUGGGUAGGAAAUGAAACAGUCAUUUGGGAUGACAGGUUGAGUGAGCACAACAGAAUCUACAUUUCACUAGAGGGGUCUUUGCUCUAGUUCAAUUCCUACACACUAGGAUUCACAGCUAAAAACAUCUGAUAUUGAAUCCAGCUGUUAAUGCUCCAUAUUAAAUAAGGCACUUCAAGUAUUGAGAGAUGGAUCAGCUUUUAAUGUCUAAUGAAAUACUGCAGUCUUUCCAAGGCAUCCUAGAAUCAAUUGCUGAUUAUCUCUUAUCACUAAAAAAUUACAUUACAAAAAUCUAAUUAUUUUUUUAAAAGUAGGUCCUCAGAAAGUCUUCAUUUCUUCAGUUAAUGUGACUUCUAAAAGCCUUGCCUCUGUUGACCCUCCUGCUGAUAUCUAGCUUGGGAACACUGAAUUUCAGCCAACAUAGCUUAAUGGCUGGUGACCUGGCUGUCCUUAGAGGCCCAACUCUGGUGGUGUUUCUGUCAACUGGAUAGAAAAUCAUGUGUAAUGGUCAUGGCAUCAGUAGGAGAAGUUCUCUGGCUAUUUCCUGUAAGACCUCAUUACUUGAUAACUCACUGCAUUUAGGAUCUGGCACUAUGGCUUCCAGGCUCAGGAAGCCAAUGUUUAUGGUGCCUUGAAAGUUCAGCCAUUAUUCAAGAACAAAUCCACAUUAAAUAAGCACAAAGAGACAGACUUGUAUCUCUAAAAGCAAAAAGUACAGCUGCUAGAUGCCAAAAAUCUCAGCUUGAUCUGACUAGCUCAUUUUCUAUCUAUGGAUAUGUCUAAAGUUACAGGUGGUAUUAAUCAGAAAAUUGCUAUGUAUUGGAGCUAAAAGCAUUAAGUCUAAGAGACAAUGAUAAAGAUAAAUGGCUUCAAGCCCAAGUGGUAUAAUGCUAAUAAGCAUGGACUCUGAAACCAGAACAAUGCUGUUUUAAUCCUAACUUUUCCACUAAUUAGUUUUAUGAACUUGAUUUUAUUACUUAAGCCACAUAUCUUAGUUUACUCCUAUGUAACAUGUGUAUGAUAAUAAAAAAAAAAAAAAUCUACCUCCUAAAGUAGUCUUAGGUAGGGAGGGAGUACGUUGUGUUAACACUUUUUUUCUCUUUUCUGUUUCAUGCAUUUACAAUAUUUUAAUCACUUAUAAUUACACCUGUUAUAAAGUAAGCUCUCUAUAAAUACACUAUCAGACUAGACAUGGUGUGUCAGCUUACUUUCUUCCUGGGCAAUGUUUCAAUUGACAUGAUAACCCCUCUACCCUGACUGAGACAUAUAUUCUUUAUUUAAAUGGGCUAAUAGGGUAGAGGAGAUACUUCACAUCAUUCAACAGUAAAAGUAGUAACCACUAGCUUAUAUGCAUUGGGUAACCACCAUGUCCUUUGGCACUAUUCUAAAUCUUUACAAGUAUAAUUUACAUCUCAAACAAUGCUUUAAGGUUUAUACCAUUAUUAUUACUAUUUUAUCUCCAUUUUAAAACAAAGUGACAGAGGCACAAAGAGGUUGGAAUUUGUAUAAAAUCCUACAGAUAGCAAGAGCCAAGGCCAGGAUUUAUUUUAACCUCCUUGCCACUCGAAACGUGGUCUGUGGGGCAGCAGUUUCCACACCAUCUGGGAGUUUAUUAGAAAUGCAAAACUGCAGGCCCCACCUCAGAUCUACUGGAUCAGGAUCUUCAUGGGCACAAAAUCCCCAGGGGAUGUGUAUACACACUAACGUUUCAGAAGCAAAGAUCUAAAUAUCUGUGUCAUUCUGCUUCUCAUGUAUUAACUUAUGAAAACUUCACAACAAAAUAAUGAUGUAAGAUCCCAAUAUGUCCAUACUAUAUAUGAGAAAAAUUAGGCUGAAGUAAAUUGCCCGAUAUCUCAUGACCAGUAAUGGGCGGGGCAGUGAUUCACACUCAGGCUACCUGAGUCCAGAGCUCUUGCUAAGGCUGAGCUGCUAUCCUGACACAUCUUUUGAGUUGCUGAUUUAUAGCAGAGAACAAAUUACAACAUGAUGCUUGAUCUUUUGCUUCACUUUGGGAACACAGCCAACUCCAGAAGGCAGGAGUAACUGCCUCAAGAUAUUUAGAUAACAUUCACACUCUAGUAGAAAAAUGUGUCAAUAUAUGAAAUCAUGGCCAAUCCCCACACAAACAUCUUGAGUUUCUAGCUUCUAUACUAAAUUGUUUCAUGUGGGGAAAGGUGCGUUCCUCACAUUGUGCUUGCUCUCAGUUUAAUAAAAACAAAAACAAUUCACCUGAAAGCAAAAACCAUACAAAAUUCCACUCUGAGACUAGUCCAGUGGCCCCUUCUCACAUGCAAUUCCCUCACAUGCAACUUCUGAAUUCGAAAGAGAAAGCUUAGGUAAGUGGGAGAACAUUGUGCCAGAGUUAUUUAUCCACUUAUGGAUAAAGAAAAAAACAUGUUGAGAUAUAUGAGCUGAGUUCAAGUUAAGCAUGUGUGUCUUCUUUCCACGGUUUUUUUCCACAAAGGAAACAAUUUACUACACUUGGCACAGUACUUUAUGUCCAUUAUCCAAUUUAAUCCUUAAUCAGGAUGCUAUGAAAUAGGUUCUAUUAUCAUUUAAAGUAGCCAGUAAGUGGCAAAAUCAGCAUUGAAACCUGCUCCUAUUACGAACCCACAGGAUCAACCUCAACACUUGAUUCCAGCUGUGAGUUCGUUACCUUCAUAUCUCUGUUAAUAUGAAUCAGACCACAUUUGUUUAGCUAAAUUUUGGUUUGAUUGCUCUAGGAGAGACAAGCUGAUUCCAACACCGACGAAUGUGGUUUCAUUUCUUAGCUAGCUCACCCAUGUAAGUCACAGCUGUUUUGUUCAGUGUCCUAAUCAACAAUUAUUGCAUUUUAAUAACUUCUGUAUUCAUAGUCCCACCUAGAGUGAAAAAAUU
rnacentral:lncRNA from 1 species